rnacentral:rRNA from 1 species
CCACCCGAGACUCAGUGAAAUUGAACUCGCUGUGAAGAUGCAGUGUACCCGCGGCAAGACGGAAAGACCCCGUGAACCUUUACUAUAGCUUGACACUGAACAUUGAGCCUUGAUGUGUAGGAUAGGUGGGAGGCUUUGAAGUGUGGACGCCAGUCUGCAUGGAGCCGGCCUUGAAAUACCACCCUUUAAUGUUUGAUGUUCUAACGUGGACCCGUGAUCCGGGUUGCGGACAGUGUCUGGUGGGUAGUUUGACUGGGGCGGUCUCCUCCUAAAGAGUAACGGAGGAGCACGAAGGUUGGCUAAUCCUGGUCGGACAUCAGGAGGUUAGUGCAAUGGCAUAAGCCAGCUUGACUGCGAGCGUGACGGCGCGAGCAGGUGCGAAAGCAGGUCAUAGUGAUCCGGUGGUUCUGAAUGGAAGGGCCAUCGCUCAACGGAUAAAAGGUACUCCGGGGAUAACAGGCUGAUACCGCCCAAGAGUUCAUAUCGACGGCGGUGUUUGGCACCUCGAUGUCGGCUCAUCACAUCCUGGGGCUGAAGUAGGUCCCAAGGGUAUGGCUGUUCGCCAUUUAAAGUGGUACGCGAGCUGGGUUUAGAACGUCGUGAGACAGUUCGGUCCCUAUCUGCCGUGGGCGCUGGAGAACUGAGGGGGGCUGCUCCUAGUACGAGAGGACCGGAGUGGACGCAUCACUGGUGUUCGGGUUGUCAUGCCAAUGGCACUGCCCGGUAGCUAAAUGCGGAAGAGAUAAGUGCUGAAAGCAUCUAAGCACGAAACUUGCCCCGAGAUGAGUUCUCCCUGACCCUUUAAGGGUCCUGAAGGAACGUUGAAGACGACGACGUUGAUAGGCCGGGUGUGUAAGCGCAGCGAUGCGUUGAGCUAACCGGUACUAAUGAACCGUGAGGCUUAACCUUACAACGCCGAAG